rnacentral:misc_RNA from 1 species
GAUGAAGAACGUAGCGAAAUGCGAUAAGUAAUGUGAAUUGCAGAAUUCAGUGAAUCAUCGAAUCUUUGAACGCACAUUGCGCCCGCCAGUAUUCUGGCGGGCAUGCCUGUUCGAGCGUCAUUUCAACCCUCAAGACCCCUUCGGGGACUUGGUGUUGGGGACCGGCACAGGGGCCUUGCGCCCCUCGCCGCCCCCGAAAUGAAUUGGCGGCCUCGUCGCGGCCUCCCCUGCGUAGUAGCACAACCUCGCAACGGGAACGUGACGGCGGCCACUGCCGUAAAACAACCCAAUUUUAUUAGAGUUGACCUCGAAUCAGGUAGGAAUACCCGCUGAACUUAAGCAUAUCAAUAAGCGGAGGA